rnacentral:piRNA from 1 species
UGAUAGAACUUUGCCUGUUGACUGUGUCA